rnacentral:tRNA from 1 species
GCGGGUGUGGCGAAAUUGGUAGACGCACCAGAUUUAGGUUCUGGCGCCGCAAGGCGUGGGGGUUCAAAUCCCUCCACCCGCACCA